AUCCGGACACACCGCCAUAUGACCGCGUCCUCACGCUGAACCUCCACCCUCUUGUUAUUUUGCCAGCUCCAAAGCAGGUGCUUAUGCAAAGGUUUGGAAGUCCAGUGCACAAUUCCUCGCAAAUGUUGAAAACGACACAUCACGUCACACUUGUGACUGAGGAAGCAGGAAAGGGGACACAGGACCGGCGGGAAUGUUGAGAUGGGAGGAUUUAAGAACUGCUGGAGUUCAGAGGUGCUUGGAGAACUCCUUUCCUCUGAAUGUUUAAACUUGGAUUCUGAGUUUACUUUACAAACAAUGGAUCCCAGGCUCACAAGCAUCCUGGCCGAAAAUGCUGAUGAGUCAGAAGAAAGCACCCAGCUGGGGUAUUUCCAAGUAAAGUCCUUGAUGUCAGGCCUGAGUGGGGAGUUCCUCCCACCCCGGGGGAUGCUUCCGGCACUGGAGGAGGUGAAACUUCCAUGGUGGGGCUGUGGGGCUGCCCUGAGCGGGGAGAUUCAGCUGGCUUCCUCCCAGGGGCGGGGAGCAGACAUGCUGUUAAAACACGCUCAGGUUGAUGGGGAACUUCUGCUUGAACAAGGUCGAGGUGAUUAUGGGGUCACUCUUGCUGCGACAGACAUUUACACAGGUGCCAGACGGCCAGCCCCUCUCGGCUCUGUUGUCGAGCUCCCAGCCCGCGUUUCCUGGCCACGUCAACAGAUGGUUCUCUGAAGCUGGCUGGAGAAGAAAGACCUCUUGGUAAUGAGCUCAGCUCUCUCUCUCUUUCUCUUGGGGAAUUUGCAUUCCUUGGCAUGAAAGGUAGAAGCACUCGUCCUGCCCUUCUGAACAGCCGAGAGGGGGAACGUGCUGGUUCCCACAUGUGAUGGUGUGCACACCUGUCUGUCUACAGGCAGAGGGUCUGAAAUAUUGGUGCUAGCACGUUCUGAUGGAUACAUCUCCUAUUUCUGCAGGGUGAUGUUGGGGCAGGGGUGGUCCUCCGCGCACAGAAACCAGUCUCUCUGCCAGUGUAGGACUACACAUUCUGAACACCGAUUUCUAAGGCUUGAGUUGUCAGAAAGUGUGGAAAGUUGGUACCUGUGCCAGGUGGUGGGUAGAUCCGAGGCCAGAUCCUCUCUGUGAACAACGGGGCCUUGGCCGUAAGAUCAGUGAUUUAUCAGGGAGUUGGGGACCAUGGGCAGUGUCUGUGGGAAAGAGUUUUCUCGAGUGCCUGUGCAAGUUUGGGGUUCCAUGCUCAGAUAGGCUGUCCUCAUUUAAGUUUCCCCUUUGUAAGUAACCAUUGCUGAAAACCUGGCUUUGUGGCUAUGGCAUAAACCUUUUGAGUGCCAUUUAAGAUAUACAUCAACUUCGACCUUGGCCUUAACUUUUUGUCACAUACAACGGAGCUAAAUUUCUUAUCCUCCACUGAUUUAAAAAGUAUGGCAAAAGCCAAUGCCUUUUAGGGACCACACAGCGCUUGUCUCCCUGUCACCAUCACCAGGAGAACUCAGCUCUCAUUUCAGAUCCCUUUCUUCAUCCUUAAUUAUUUCCUCUUCAUUUUGAUUUCAAACAUUCUUCACCAUCAGUUGAUAAUUGAUAAUGAAUCUGAUGGAACAUAAUGGAUCCACAUAAAGGAUGAGGCUAUUUAAUGUUUUCCAGAUGCAGGCAGCUGUCAGGAGCACGAGGCUGGGAGCCCGGGAGCCCCAUAGACCAGGGCCUGAGUCCCUGCUCUGGUUUCCAGAAUCCACAUUCAAACCACGGGAUGAAGUUGAAAUGAGGAGCAUGAUGGGGAGUGUCUGUGAAGUUCCACCACCAUGUUGUCGAGGUGUAUUCAAACCUCUCAGUUAAAAAGUAGUACCAGGCACUGUUCCUAUCCCACUGCUGAAAGUUUCAUUUGGAUCAAAAUUAUAGUCAUAGAACUGACAGAUGUGAGUGAGUGUUUUCAGACGAGAACAGAAUGAGAUAGCACAUUCGAUGAUAACUACAUGGCUAUUAAUAUCACAGUGCAAAUUCAGUCUUUAGCUUCCAAAUUCAUUUUUCUUCAAUAAAUGAUCAAUCAUCUUAUAAUUAAAAUUCAUUUCUGAGCUAGAGUAUGGUGUGGAAUGAUCACAAAUCCCAGGAAUAAGCAGUGUUUGUUUAACUGAUUCUUAUUUUGCAAUAUGACGUAGUUUAACUUUGUUUCAAGUCAUAAAAAUGCCAAUUUGAAAAUUGAUGGUGCCUACAAAUAAAAUUAUAUUUUAAGCUACUUUUGAACCCUGACACGUUCUUAAGCCAUUUUUCCUGGUUAUCACAUCUGUGAGCCAAGGGAGAAGGAGACACUGGUAACCGUGUACAAUUUCAGAACUAGCUUAAAACUUGGCACUGUGAUUUUCCUAAGAUGCCGCUAAAAUUGGAGAUGAGAUAAAGUAACCGGAACGUCCAGCCUGCAAAGCGUGGGAGUCCCCUGGCUACUUCCCUCUUUGACCCCUGCAGCCUUUUCUGUGCAUCUCGCCUCACUGGAUACUUAAUCCUCUUAGUGUCCCAUUCUCGCAGGUUGCUCUGAACCCCCGGGGACAGAGGGAGGACUUGGCUUCAAUCACACCAAUUGGCAGGAAGACCAGACUGGGCUUCUCAUCCUGUCGGGACUCCUGUGCUCAGCGAGGAGGCAGGGAGAGAGGGCAGUGGACUGCCAGGCACCAAGAGGGGGCAGAGAGAUUUGGGACUGGGCCUUCCCACCCCCUGCACGGAGGACCAGGCUAUCUCCUCCCGGGGUGAGUCAGGCUGGCCCCACGUUUGGCUUGAGAGCCAAAGCGUUUGUGUGGAAGCUGCUCUCAAGGCUAGAAUAAGAUGAUUCUCUUAAAACGCUUUAGUUAAACCUUUGGUUUGAGGCAAUGGGCUUUAGGGAUAAGGAUUUCUCUGAGUAUCCCUUUUAUCUUAUUUUAUUUUAUUUCUAAUAAGUCAAAGUGCUCUCGAGGUCCCUGGGUGAAGGCACUCAGCACUUCAAGGAUGCGUAGCGCUUCUAUGAUUGGGAUGGCUCAGUGCAACCAGCUCCUUCAGGGCCUCAGGCUCAGGAAAGGAAACCCAGGCAGUAAAUUAGCCCCAGACUCAAAGUGCCGGCUUUGGCCCAGCUAGUCACACCACCCCCUGUGUCACGUGCUUCAGCUGCUCUUUUCUCUGCCCUCUAUGUAAUCCCUGAAAAAAAUAGAAGACUUUUUGUGUGCGGGGCACAGGGUGGGG
ensembl:lncRNA